GGGCAGAUACUCAAGCGGUCAACGAGGGGUGACUGUAAAUCACCUGGCCUUCGUCCUACGCAGGUUCGAAUCCUGCUCUGCCCACCA
rnacentral:tRNA from 1 species